UGUAUGUCCAGUUUUUUUUUGUUUUUUUUUGUGUUUUUUUAAUACAGAUAUGAAAGAUGACAUUACCCUAACUUAGAGUCAUAGGAGUUUCAUUAAUUUAUUUACUCAGAUGCUGAAACAGACAUCUGGCAUAUUCCUAUAAUCAGUAUCAUGGCCUUUGUAUACAACAAAAUUGAUUGGAACUCCUAGACUAGAAAUAUAAUUCAAGAUUUAAAUAAGGCACUGGUCAUAGUUUUAGAAAGUGUGGCUAGCAUUCUGAAGGAAGACAGAGAGAUGGAAAGACAUCAAAGAAUGGGCAGGUCUGCCAAGAAAUGGUUUAUCCAGGGCUAAGUACAGAGAGGAAUAUAGAAGGGCUGUUGACAGAUCUUGUGUGGUGCCCCCAUGGUUCAACAGACUAAUUGAUUGAAAAUAAUACCAGGGUUAUGCUCCUUUGACCAUUGAGUUCCAGGAUGAAGAAUGAAAGACAGAGAGCAAUGUGAAGACAUGAAAGAAUGGGCAGGUCUGCCAUGAAAUGGUUUAUCCAGGGCUAAGUACAGAGAGGAAUAUAGAAGGGCUGUUGACAGAUCUUGUGUGGUGCCCCCAUGGUUCAACAGACUGAUUGAUAGGUAAUGGUAAGAAUUUAAUGUAUUUUGAAAAAAAAAUGGUGUUAAUUACAUUAAGGGACUUAAUCACUCUUUUUUUAAUUUUUACAUUCAUUUAAUGUAAUUAUUUUAUACAGUAAUAUAUGAUUUUUAUCUUGGUAAAUCAUUUAAAUAUAUAUCCUGCUAAUCAAACCAAAGAAUCUUCUCAAUACUUAUUUAAAAAUUUUAAUUUUGUCUGCAUGUAACAAAUGUUUAACGAAAAGAAAUGUACACUGUCCAUCAUUGAUUAUUUAAAACUGGGAUUCAUUCCUUCCUUGUCAAACAAGCCGUUGCCUAAGUGACUUUUUUAAAAUAAUGAUACGAAACCAAUUGCUAGAGGAUCAUCUGAGACAAUGUCACCCUAACAAAAUAGAUAAAGAUUUAAAAAUUUUCUAGCACUCAAAGAUAAAGUUAAGAAUAGACCCACACAAUCUCACUUCAACAUCAUAUAUAUAUAGAGAAGAUGUUGGUUUGUGAGCAUCUUACAAUAUCUCUUUACUUAUAGCAAAAUAUGGAAACAUAGGUAAAACAUUGAUUUUACCAGCCGUUGUAGUUGUGAAAACUGUUUUACACACACCUACAUCUGAUAUUAUUAAAAGAAUUUCUUUAAACAAAAAUACAGUUCA